GACGAACGCUGGCGGCGUGCCUAAUACAUGCAAGUAGAACGCUGAAGGAGGAGCUUGCUUCUCUGGAUGAGUUGCGAACGGGUGAGUAACGCGUAGGUAACCUGCCUGGUAGCGGGGGAUAACUAUUGGAAACGAUAGCUAAUACCGCAUAAGAGUAGAUGUUGCAUGACAUUUGCUUAAAAGGUGCAAUUGCAUCACUACCAGAUGGACCUGCGUUGUAUUAGCUAGUUGGUGGGGUAACGGCUCACCAAGGCGACGAUACAUAGCCGACCUGAGAGGGUGAUCGGCCACACUGGGACUGAGACACGGCCCAGACUCCUACGGGAGGCAGCAGUAGGGAAUCUUCGGCAAUGGACGGAAGUCUGACCGAGCAACGCCGCGUGAGUGAAGAAGGUUUUCGGAUCGUAAAGCUCUGUUGUAAGAGAAGAACGAGUGUGAGAGUGGAAAGUUCACACUGUGACGGUAUCUUACCAGAAAAGGACGGCUAACUACGUG
rnacentral:rRNA from 1 species